GAAAUGCGAUAAGUAAUGUGAAUUGCAGAAUUCAGUGAAUCAUCGAAUCUUUGAACGCACCUUGCGCUCCUUGGUAUUCCUUGGAGCAUGCCUGUUUGAGUAUCAUGAAAUCUUCAAAGUAAAUCUAUUGUUAACUCAAUUGGUUUCUACUUUGGUAUUGGAGGUCUUUGCAGCUUCACACCUGCUCCUCUUUGUUCAUUAGCUGGAUCUCAGUGUUAUGCUUGGUUCCACUCGGCGUGAUAAGUUAUCUAUCGCUGAGGACACUGUAAAAGGUGGCCAAGGUAAAUGCAGAUGAACCGCUUCUAAUAGUCCAUUGACUUGGACAAUACUUUUAUGAUCUGAUCUCAAAUCAGGUAGGACUACCCGCUGAACUUAAGC
rnacentral:misc_RNA from 1 species